CAACUUUCAGCAAUGGAUCUCUUGGCUCUCGCAUCGAUGAAGAACGCAGCGAAUCGCGAUAAGUAAUGUGAAUUGCAGAUUUCCAGUGAAUCAUCGAAUCUUUGAACGCACUUUGCGCUCCUUGGUACUCCGAGGAGCAUGCCUGUUUGAGUGUCAUUU
rnacentral:rRNA from 2 species